UUGAUUUUGAUUUGUUGCCUUCUGUGCUGGCUCCGGCAUGUGCACGUUGGUGACUUUCAUGCAAUCCCCUUUUGUGAACCUUUGGCCUCGUGCUGGCUUUGGCUGGCGGAGGAUUUACACAUACUUGAAUGUAACAGAAAGCCCUUGUUGUGCGCAAGCACUAAUGUA
rnacentral:misc_RNA from 1 species